rnacentral:rRNA from 1 species
AUUGAACGCUGGCGGCAGGCCUAACACAUGCAAGUCGAGCGGAUGAAGGGAGCUUGCUCCUGGAUUCAGCGGCGGACGGGUGAGUAAUGCCUAGGAAUCUGCCUGGUAGUGGGUGAUAACGUCCGGAAACGGGCGCUAAUACCGCAUACGUCCUGAGGGAGAAAGUGGGGGAUCUUCGGACCUCACGCUAUCACAUGAUCCUAGGUCGGAUUAGCUAGUUGGUGGGGUAAAGGCCUACCAAGGCGACGAUCCGUAGCUGGUCUGAGAGGAUGAUCAGUCACACUGGAACUGAGACACGGUCCAGACUCCUACGGGAGGCAGCAGUGGGGAAUAUUGGACAAUGGGCGAAAGCCUGAUCCAGCCAUGCUGCGUGUGUGAAGAAGGUCUUCGGAUUGUAAAGCCCUUUAAGUUGGGAGGAAGGGCAGUAAGUUAAUACCUUGCUGUUUUGACGUUACCAACAGAAUAAGCACCGGCUAACUUCGUG